UACGUAGGGGGCGAGCGUUGUCCGGAAUUAUUGGGCGUAAAGAGCGUGUAGGCGGUUCGGUAAGUCUGCCGUGAAAUCCUGGGGCUCAACCCCGGAACUGCAUUCGAUACUGCCGCGCUAGAGUACUGGAGAGGAGAUUGGAAUUUACGGUGUAGCAGUGAAAUGCGUAGAUAUCGUAAGGAAGACCAGUGGCGAAGGCGGAUCUCUGGACAGUUACUGACACUGAGGCACGAAGGCCAGGGGAGCAAACGGG
rnacentral:rRNA from 1 species